ACGUUACCUCACACCACUUUGUUUCAACCUGACUAACCUUUCCCCCUCUCUCUUAAUCGUGCCACCACCGAAAAUCCGCUCGCCACGCCGGAGGCGGCAGAGCAACUCAUAAUCCCUCUAAAUAACAAUUAAUUUGUUCCUCUUACCUUCUUCUUUCCACUUCUCAUGCUUGUUUCACCUAGCUAUCUAUAAAUCUCCCAAAUUGAAACACAUACACAAAGAACCCUAAUAUCUUGAAACUGGAAUUAAAUGAAGAUGAAGGAGAAUCAAGCCACGCCACCUUGGGGCAUUGAUUUCCCCUAACUGAAGGCUACAACCUACAUGGCGGUAACAAAUUCAUAGAGAAUAAAGAAAAAAAUGGAGAAGUAGCUUACCUACAGGGAAGAGAUUGGUCCCGGAGUUUGUAGGAGUUGAAGAAGAUCAAAGAAUAUGUAUCCAGGAUGUUUGGCUGGUUCAAGGCUUGGUGCAACAUGUCUUGGCUUGCAGGUAAGGUGUUUGAUCAUUUGAUGGCUCUUGGCUCAUGACUUGGUAUGCAUGGUUGUUGGGUUUUUGAUGGUGUAGACAUGAGUGGUAUGACAUUUGGUGAUGGUUUUUGGUGCAAGCUUACUCGAUGGCAAGGUUUGACAUGGUGGUUGCUUCAUGGGUGAUGGUCUGCUGCAAGGUCCAUCUGGUGGUCUGUAGCCUAGCUGGUUUGGCGAUCUGGCUGGUCCAUUUAGUGGUCUGACCUUGACAUGGACCAAGUUGUUUGGUCAUGAAGAAAUUCAAGGAAAACAAGGUUUUUGGUAAUGAAUCAAGGUAAGAUGGAUGGAAAUAGAUCUUAGGGAGUCAAGGGAGGGUCAAUUGACUUUGGUCAAUUAGUUGACCAAAAAGUCAAUUGUUGACUAAAAAUCAACUGUAGCAAAUUUUGGCGAAAUUGUAAGUUUUUGUAUGAACAUGGGCAUCCUUGUAAUUAAGUGAUGGAAUUGUGAAUGAAAAUGAUAUUUUUAUUGAA